GACAGAGGGCGCAAGCGUUGUUCGGAAUUACUGGGCGUAAAGCGCGCGUAGGCGGCGGGGCAAGUCGGAUGUGAAAGCCCACGGCUCAACCGUGGAAGUGCACCCGAAACUGCCUCGCUAGAGUCUCGGAGAGGAAGGUGGAAUGCUUGGUGUAGAGGUGAAAUUCGUAGAUAUCAAGCGGAACACCGGUGGCGAAGGCGGCCUUCUGGACGAUGACUGACGCUGAGACGCGAAAGCGUGGGGAGCAAACAGG
rnacentral:rRNA from 1 species